AGGCUCAGAGAUAAGGAUAGGGAGGGGUUGCUCACCCAUUAAUGGUCACAGGCAAGCAAAAGACAGGCUCAUUAGGGGAAGAAGAAGAACAUCACUUUAAUUCAAAACACUAAAAUAACAACACUUAACAGAGAGAAUGGGACAGUGAGAAGUGUUACCAUAUCUUAAAAACACCUCCCCCUACUUCCCCGUGCUCAGUUUUGCUGGGGAUAUUUCUAUCUCCUCCCCCAGCAGCACAGGGGCAGGGGAUGGGGGCUGCAGUCAGUCCAACGCUUCUUCCUCCAAGGUGAGGGGAAGCACUUCUGCGUUCAUCCCCCUGCUCCACAUGGUAUCCCUCUCACAGGAGACAGUCCUCCACAAACUCUCCGCCGUGAGUCCUCCCCCGGAGAUGCUCCGGCCUGGGUCACCUCCAUGUGUUGCAGUCCUCCCAGCAACGAACAACAACAGCAAGGGCUUCUUCUUCCCACAGAGUCCCGGAGGUCCUCCACAGGCUGGAGGUGAAUCUCUGCUCCUCCAGUGGCCUUCAUGGGUGGCAGUGGGGUGGCCCUGCCAUCUCACCACGGGAUACAGGGGGAUUCUCUACUCCAGUGCACCUCCCUGCUUCCUCCUCCUCCUUUCCACUGACCUCAGUGUUCACUCUGAUUUGCAGAGACUCUACAACUCGGAGAGUUAUACAGCAGAUGCUGCUCUGCUGUUUACUGGUGUCUCCGGAGGAAAGCUGGAUGCUGCCAGCAGGCUCAUCCAUCAUGCCUAG
rnacentral:lncRNA from 1 species